rnacentral:lncRNA from 1 species
AUAAACUUAUUUCAUGCAUGAUUAAUGAACUCAUUGACAUACAAAAUAUACACGUUAUGUGUUUGAUAGUGAAAUGUUCUAAGUCUAAUCACAUACAUUAGUGGAAUUCAAAGCGAAGACCAGUCGACAAAAAGUCUGUCUAAGUAAACGCAGCCGCCACCUCUUACCUCCACCACUUAUUUACUUCUUCAUCUUCUUCAUCUUUUUUUCUCCCUAAUAUUCUCGAGCUUCAUCAUCAUUCUGUAAUAUACACGCAUCUUUAAUUAUAUUUAAAAAAAAAAAAAAUCAAAUGGAUCAAGAAGAGGAGGAGAUCGAGGUCCCUAAGUACUUUCUCUGUCCAAUCUCACUAGAGAUUAUGAAAGAUCCAGUCACAGCCGUUUCAGGCAUAACUUAUGACCGUCAAAGCAUCGUAAAGUGGCUCGAGAAGGUCCCUUCUUGUCCCGUGACGAAGCUGCCUCUUCCUAUAGACUCCGG